AUCGCUUCUCAGCCUUUUGGCUAUGGUAAAGUGUAAUAGCUGUUCUUAUCAGUUUAAUAUCUGAUAUAUCUUUUACCCAAGAUAAUAUAUUACAUGGAUUUUUGAAGCAGGGAGGUGGAGCAGGAGCUUGCUCCAUCCACUCUGAGCAUUGACCUAGUAUUUCAGUACUUCCAGAAAUGGUGCAUGGGAA